GUGAUACUGUAUCAGCCUUGAUUUUUAAGUAAUAAAAACAAUGGUUAUUAUUGUCACCUAUAGAAUGUAGUGGAUCUUGCCGACAUUGUUUUAGUUAGAGUCAAAACAAUGUGCGAUUGAUCCGUACAAA